rnacentral:rRNA from 1 species
UACGGGGGGGGCAAGCGUGGUUCGGAAUUACGGGGCGUAAAGGGCUCGUAGGUGGCCAAUUAAGUCAGACGUGAAAUCCCUCGGCUUAACCGGGGAACUGCGUCUGAUACUGGAUGGCUUGAGUUCGGGAGAGGGAUGCGGAAUUCCAGGUGUAGCGGUGAAAUGCGUAGAUAUCUGGAGGAACACCGGUGGCGAAGGCGGCAUCCUGGACCGACACUGACACUGAGGAGCGAGAGCCAGGGGAGCAAACGGG